GACGAACGCUGGCGGCGUGCUUAACACAUGCAAGUCGGGCGGUAAGGCUCUUUCGGGGGGUACACGAGCGGCGAACGGGUGAGUAACACGUGGGUGACCUGCCCCUAUGCUCUGGGAUAAGCCUGGGAAACUGGGUCUAAUACCGGAUAUGACCUCACGCCGCAUGGUGUGGGGUGGAAAGCCUUGUGCGGCUGGGGAUGGGCCCGCGGCCUAUCAGCUUGUUGGUGGGUGAUGGCCUACCAAGGCGA
rnacentral:rRNA from 1 species